GCAGACCAGGAACGGGAGGAGGAAGCGCUCGGGUCCGUGAGCAGCUGGAGGCCCACGGAGGCCCACGGAGGCCCUAGAGACUGUCUUUCAUGGAUAUUUAACUGCAGUUCUGUGAGUAUCCCAACUUGACCAUGAAGCAUAACUGCAAACUGUAAGUCAUUAAUUUCUCAUUACUCUUGGGCACAUUGAUGUAGUUUGGCUUCCUGGUGAGUUAACCUGUUACCUGAAGGUUGAUCUGAGUAGGAAGGAUGUUUUAUUGGUUCAUGGGUUACUUAGGUGUUUGGUUUAUGUUGGUUUUAAUGAUUUGUUAAAAUGGUUACAGGCUCUAAGUUAUUGUUGUAAGCUGGAGUAAUGGGUUGGGUUCUGAUAUCUUCAGUCUUCUUUCAUUCUACUCUCCUGAGCUCUGCAUCGUCAUCACAUGAGUGUUGCUUUACUGAUGAGGCUGGGGUCUGAGUGAGCAGAGGUGCAUACUGGGAUACAGAGCGGUCUCGAGUCUACAGGUCUGAAGACACGCCCCCUCAGGGGAAACCGAGUGUUUGAGAAGCUGUCGUGUCGUCAGUUACAUGGACUGGAAUGUUCAUAAAGAUGGAGACAGGGAUUCAGAAGGAGAAACACCAGGGGGAGAUGAGGGGCUCCUCAUCUCAACGACUAAAACACAACUUCAGUCUGACACAGAACCAUGGAACACAUUCAACAGUCCCCUCCAGGCAUCGUGACUCCUCAGGAACAGUUUCAUUUCCAAGAAGGUCUUAUUUGGGGCCAUCCCCAUAUGGAUCCUGCUCCUCAAGAGCCCCCCCCCCCCUCCACUGGGUGGUCUUCUGAACAGAUGAUCUCCUUCCUGUCCUCAGGCUGACUAAAGCUGCACCGUUUGCAUCUGUGGAGGCCCCUCAUUCAGGAAACCACUGGACUACAAAGACAUGACUUCAAAGAUGUUGAAUCAACCUGGGACACAUUUUGGAGACGCCAAGCAUAAUCCAUCACCAAUGUGGGACGCCACUGAAGAAUGUUGUACAUAAUUCACGUCUCUGGAGACAUUGGUUGUUCUGUUAUGGGUGCCCUGGCAGGAGAGCUGGGGGGGGGGGGGGGUGAUGGAAUGUUAUUUGCUAUGAGGUUUUUACCCUGCAUGAUUGUUUGGCCUUUUAUGGCUCAGUGGUGUGCGUGUGCGCGUGUGUGUGUGUGUGUGUGUGUGUGUGUGUGUGUGUGUCAUGAGAUGAAAGAUUUUUGAGCAUCGCUAGGCUUCUACUGUGUGUGUGUGUGUGUGUGUGUGUCUCCCACUCACACCUGGCAUGGGGUUCUACGUGCCUGUCCUGGGUUCUGUGUGUGUGUGUCCGGCUUGCUUUGACAGUGAUAAUGUUCACACGGGGGUCUGUGUGAUUGGCUUGGGAUAUUGGAAUGGUCAACUAAAUCAUACCUGAUGGACGGCCACACGUUUACUUAAGGGCCUCCAGUAGACAUGAAGAGCCCUGAGCGACGCUCCGGAGCGAUAUCAACACACUGGGCAUGAAGGAGAGUACCCAAUUCAAGUGUAAAAGGAUGCAAGCGGCGUGUUCAGAUCAGUGACUUCAAACUAGGACUACACCAAUCAGGAUCAAUGGAGGAUGGACACCAAAAGGAAUUCCACAAGGAGUCUGACGUUGGAAAGGGACCUAAAUGUAUAUUCAAGAUGACCUUCAGACCUGUAAUGAGACGGCUCUUCCUAUCUGGCUGGAUUGAUGGAGAGCCCUGUGGAUCUUGUCUUGCUCUCAGUUGCACGUCUUCUCAGGCUGAACUGUAAUUGUUUCGGACAGGACUAGCUGAACGAUUGGGUCCCUUAAAUCAGAACCAAUCCGGGAACUCCAGCUAGUGCGCUCUUCGAGCUGAAGUUGUGCUCUUCAGCUGAGAAGGUAAACCUUCACUGGGGCUUCAAGGUGUAAAGAGGAGAAUGUUUCAAAGUGUUCCAUGGUACUCUGAUGAAGACCGUUGUUGUGUUCCACUGGCUGCGAGGAAGAACCCACACAUCUUCCUCUUGGCCUUUCUCCUCUGAGAAUCCUGGCGCCAUCUUGAAGGAUAUUCCAGCUCAUGUAACUGAUGUCACGACAGAUUCUCAAACACUUGGUUUCUCCUGAGGGGCGUGUCUAUGGAACUGAAGACUUCAGACAGCACUGUAUCCCAGCAUGCAUCUCUGCUCACUCAGACCACACCCCCAUGAGUAGGAUGCAACACUUUAGUGAUGGAGAUGUAGAGUUUUAUAAGUAACGAGGGAGCAGACUAAGGUGAUUAGAACACAAUGGAAUGUCGAGUCUGUAAAUCUUUAAGCCAUGAAGAUGGUUGGAUAGUUCAGGAAUUGGGCUUCUUUUUAUUAUGGGCAGUCCUUUCACUCAGAUGCCCACUUCUCACUGGAGCUGUACAUGUGUUGGCUGGCUGGCAUGAUUUGCUGUUGGUGAUGAGGCGGUCAGGGUGACGUUGCAGGGCUAUGGUCGGCUCUCUGUGAGCUCAACGUUUAGAUUUGCUCUGCAUGGUUUGUACCCUGAAUAAUCUAGAUAAUUGUAAAAUGUAGACACGGUUUUGUAUUGAAUGAUUCCCGGAUUUUAGGUUUAAAGUUGUUGAGGGACGUACAUGGUAGUUUGGUUCUUCGUAUGGUUUUGAGUGAUAUAACUUGUACACACUGGGUGCAUAAUAAUGUAAAGGCACACUGAAUAGUAUUAAUGACCAACAGCAACAAACGGAUCUCCUCAAGGUAAGUCUGUUGGCUGUGUUUUAAUGAAGACCAUCGCUGGACUUCAGGAUCUUCCUCCGUUCAGCUCAAGGUGAGGCGCUGGUUCUGUUUUUUCUUUGGUUGGUUCCGGCCGGAAUGUUUGGAUUCCAGUCGGACGGUUUGUGCUUCCCGCCGUGGACGUUUCUGAGUGCGGUCACUUGAUUUAGUCCCAAUGGUUAGCAUAGAACGUUGUAGUCUUGACAACCAUAAGAACCACCUGGCAGUUAGUUUGACGGGAGUCCCCUGAGGGAAUCUGGCGGAACGUUCUGGAUUGUAUUUGAGUAACCUCGAGGCGUUGCCAACGGAAACAAUUUUUCAGUCGUUUCCAUUGGGAAUUGUUGCCCCUAUCUUAAACAACUAAAGUUUGAUAUUAAAAAAAUACUGAGACGUACGUCGUACAAUAUGUUGAUACUUUCCGAUGGUUGCGCCGUACUUUUAUACACGAUGACGUUGCGGGACUCUCACUGCAUACAAAACAGCGUUCUACUUGCGGGCCAAUUUUUGACAUCAGGGAAGGCUGAAAAUCAUUUCAAGGUGGAAGAUAAUUUGACAUUUCUUCAACGGAACCCAGCACCUGAAUAUGGCUGAGUAUAUUUGAUUUAAUAUCGAUACUGCUUAGUGUUCUUUGUUACUUCAGAUUUUUUACGUUCUAAAUAUCUGCUGUCAUUAAUUGCCACAGAAGUUUAACCCUACCCAAUGGAAUGACUUUAAACAACGACUUUGGUGCAGUUACCAACUGGAUAAUAUCAAAGCUAAAAUAAUGGCCGUCAUUCCCACAUGUUACAGUAGAAGAUACUCUAGAACUGUACAAGGUUAAAAAGGUAGCAUGUAGUUUGUCCCAAGGUGUCUGCCUCCUCACCCAGAGCCAGACCUCCACCUCCUCACCCAGAGCCAGACCUCCACCUCCUGUCAGAAGUCCUCCAGAACAGGCGAGGCUGAGAGGCUGGGGACCGGAGGCUUGUGGUGCCAGGAUGGACCGGAGACUGAGGCUGGAGACCAGGGGCCUGCAGCACCGGACCAUGGGACCAGGAAUCCAUGGCUGAAGGAGGAGCUGAGACGCUGGAGGACGACUAGGAAUCGACCAACAAGGAUUCCUCAACGUGUUUCCGGAGCGGAGGCCAGCUGGCAGGGGAGCCGUGAAUCUGGAGGAUGACCAUCACUCUACCAACAAGGAUUACUUUAGGGCCAGACUUGCGCUGUUUGUUCCAGACCAGGACUCUGGCUGAGGAGAGCUGAUGGAGGAGCCAAGACUCUGGAGGACGACUUCACUCCACCAACCAGGAUCCUCACCAGGAAGCUGGAGGACUGAUGGAGAAGCCGUACAUCUGGAAGGCAAAUCCUGAGGACCACCAUGACUCUACCAUCAAGGAUUCCUCAUAAAUGUGCAUUAUCUGGACAUAGUGGACUAGACACACCUGAGCCGAACCUCACCUGAUCCUGUUUGGUCGGGGGUAGACACACCUGAGCUAAACCCGCCCUGAUCCUGACAUCCUGCUGGUCCCGUCUCCUCAGUUCAUCUGAGCCUCGUCCUCCAGAAGACCUGCUGAGCUCAGCAGUCUGAGGCUGAUGGAUCAAUGACCUCCAGUGGGAGUCUUCUUCUUGACCCCACAUGUAACUGUGUGCUUCCACACGCCUUUCCCUCACAUCUGUCACUAACCUCACUACUUCACUACUCUCUACUGCUUCCUCUUUUCUUCCUUCUCUGUGGUUCAAACCUUUACACUGAAGGCGCGUCUUCCUGCCCUCAGAGGGUUUAGCGUUAGGGUUGAGAGUCAGGGUUUAGAGUCAGGGACAGAGCUGGUCAGGGAGGACUGCUUUUACACAAACCUCUUCAGUUGCUUUCGGAAUGGUGGUGACAUUUUGAAAAGAUUCAUUUGGGAAAAUGUUUUCCUCUGCUUUCCUUUACAAAUUGUAUUGAACUUCUGCCAAGUGUUUUUGUUUAUAUAUUAAAAUCCCACAUUGACUUCUACAUGUUUGUUGCGGUUCAUUUAAUUGUCCUUUAACUUGGUUAAUGUC